UGGUUCUGGUUCUGGGUAGUCUCGGGUU
rnacentral:sRNA from 1 species